rnacentral:rRNA from 1 species
UACGAAGGGGGCUAGCGUUGCUCGGAAUCACUGGGCGUAAAGGGUGCGUAGGCGGUCUGACAAGUCUGAUGUGAAAUCUAUGGGCUCAACCCAUAGUCUGCAUCGGAAACUGUCGGGCUGGAGUAUGGGAGAGGUGAGUGGAAUUUCCGGUGUAGCGGUGAAAUGCGUAGAUCUCGGAAGGAACACCUGUGGCGAAAGCGGCUCACUGGACCAUUACUGACGCUGAUGCACGAAAGCUAGGGGAGCAAACAGG